UACAGAGGGGGCAAGCGUUGUUCGGAAUUACUGGGCGUAAAGGGCGCGUAGGCGGCCUGCUAAGUCGAACGUGAAAUCCCCGGGCUCAACCCGGGAACUGCGUCCGAUACUGGUAGGCUUGAAUUCGGGAGAGGGAUGCAGAAUUCCAGGUGUAGCGGUGAAAUGCGUAGAUAUCUGGAGGAAUACCGGUGGCGAAGGCGGCACCCUGGACCGACAUUGACGCUGAACGGCGAAAGCUAGGGGAGCAAACGGG
rnacentral:rRNA from 1 species